rnacentral:tRNA from 1 species
GUUUUGAUAGUUUAAAUAAAACGUCGGUCUUGUAAACCGAAAAUGAAAUGAAUUUUCUCAAAUCA